rnacentral:lncRNA from 1 species
UUGAAUUUGAUUUUCAUAAAUAAAAGCAUCUAGAAGGGUCGUUCUAGACAUUUUAAUUUAUCUUACCAUGUGUGUUUUUUUGAUCCGAUCCUGAUUGUCAAUUUCAAAAUAAUCAAAGGCUCACAAUGGCUAUCGAUGUUCACCUCUAUUAACCAACCAAAAUCAAACAAAUAAAAAAAAUAAAAGGAGAAGGAACUUGGAGCAAUAGGGGACCACACAACCCAUACCAACGACUCUUUCUGAUCCUCAUUUUUGAGUGACCUCUCACUCACACGUGGCCAUUCAUAAUUCGCUGGAGGAUAUUUUAAAAAGUGGAGUCUAUCCACUAAAAACAAAAAAUGGAAUUUGGAAUAAAGAGGGAUGGGCUUAUUUCAUUUGGGGGAGGAAUCGCUUUUUCGAAAAAGCAAAAGCUUCUCAUCGUUAAUGAUAGUUUCUGCAAACAAACCAGAUUUUUGUGAAAAACUUCUCCAUCUACCCACCGCCGCAAACCCUUCAUUUCCGUGACGUCCACUCUCUACUCAUCAUACCCUCUGUUGCCUUCCGCCGUUCCCACACCUUCACGACACCGACAAACA